rnacentral:rRNA from 1 species
GAUGAACGCUGGCGGCGUGCCUAAUACAUGCAAGUCGAGCGAACGGACGAGAAGCUUGCUUCUCUGAUGUUAGCGGCGGACGGGUGAGUAACACGUGGAUAACCUACCUAUAUGACUGGGAGAACUUCGGGAAACCGGAUCUAAUACCGGAUAAUAUUUUGAACCGCAUGGUUCAAAAGUUCAAGACGGUCUUCGUGUCACUUAUAGAUGGAUCCGAGCUGCAUUAGCUAGUUGGUAAGGUAACGGCUUACCAAGGCAACGAUGCAUAGCCGACCUGAGAGGGUGAUCGGCCACACUGGAACUGAGACACGGUCCAGACUCCUACGGGAGGCAGCAGUGGGGAAUCUUCCGCAAUGGGCGAAAGCCUGACGGAGCAACGCCGCGUGAGUGAUGAAGGUCUUCGGAUCGUAAAACUCUGUUAUUAGGGAAGAACAGCUGUGUGAGUAAAUGUGCACAUCUUGACGGUACCUAAUCAGAAAGCAACGGCUAACUACGUG